GGCAGUGUGGCCUAACAGAGCACGAGACUGGGAUUCAGGAGACUUGGGUUCUAGUCCCAGCUCUGCCA
rnacentral:tRNA from 1 species